rnacentral:lncRNA from 1 species
AUCAAGUUGAGCUGAAGGUAGAGGUCAGAGAGCUGAAGUUCUAGGCCUGCUGACAGGGUGGUGUGUUCAUCAGGUGAUCUCAUGAGAUGCCAGCUCACUCCAGUGUUGACUGACCUUCCUUUUAUAUGACCCAGACCUUGGUUCCUUUUUCAUUUUCUCAUAUUAAUUCUACUCCCUUCUUUCCUUUCCCCUUUCCCUCCUACUUCCCCUUCCCCUUUGAACCUUUUCCUCCUG